CAUUCCAAAACUAAAAGCAGCUCUAAGGGAUGUAUGCUAUAUUUUAAACAAUGGGCCUAUUUAAUUUAAAAAGCAAAAACUGUCAUUUGCAUUGGUUUAUACAAACCUAGUAACAUGCAAUUAAUGUAUUUCCAGUACAGAAAAAACAGAAGGUUCUCUAUUUAGGCAAGUAAAAAAAAAAGGCACAUAAGGGUUCUCUUUUAGUAACUCCCUUCAAUUUUCUAACUCAAGUGGGGCAUAGUAAUUAUUCUGAACAAAGUCUGUAAACCCCCUGGAGCCUUUAAGAACUCUGCACUUUGACCUUUCAGUUUAGGUAGGAACAAAACCAGAAGUUGGUUAUGAGAGAGGGGGCACCGGGUGGACUAGUGGGCUGUAGGGUCUUUAGUUCAUUUAAAGCUUAGCUAUCCAUCCUGUCAUCAAUGUCACGUUGGACAGAGAAGUUUACCUCCCAUUUUUAAAAGGAGGGCCAUAGCCUCCAGUGGAAUCAGAACAAACGCUGCUGUGUGCAAAACAUGACCAGACACUUAAUGGGGAAUCCAUUUCCUUCCUUCAUGACCUGUUAUCAUAUACUGCGAGGUACUAAAACAGAGGCCGACAUAACGUACCCAACUGAAUUAUUUUAGUUGGGUGUGACAUUAUACAGACGUUGCCACGUUCACAGUGUGUUGCAUUACAAAAUAUUAUGCAAUCAUCGACACAAAUUUGCUUUAAUGUCGAGCAUUGUUCUAGAAAAUCGUUUUUGUCUACAGUACAAAAAUGAGCUUCUGCUGUCCUGUAUCUGCAAAACGAGCCUUAACCGCCGAAGACAAAAUUGUGUUUACACCGCAUUCAUUGACGUAAUGUAUCAUCCAUCCGUUAGCUGCCCGAGUUAGCGUUGCAAAAACCUUUACCCAGGUUAGCUGAUAAUAAAGUUUCAACAGCCUUUUCUGCAGAUUUUCCCACACUUGCAAGUACUGUGCGUUUUACGACGAUGAGCAAUUGUAAGACUGCAUUUUUAAGGAAGAAAGUCGUGGUAUGAAUCAUAAAUACAAGUUCCCCACACAGCUCAGGAGAACUGAAGGUUCGUGGGUGUUCUCCGAUCCAACGAGAGCGGAUGUCAGCUAGCUACCGACCUCUGGAGGACAAAAGCCAGUCCUGCAGGUCUUCCACCUGAGCUUACUGGACGCCUGGCCAGUAGAGUCUGCUGCAGAUGAGAAGACAUGGACCUUCAGGUUUUGCCUCCCUAACCCCAAGGACACUUUGCACAGCCAGAACGCAAACCUGCACUGGACGACUCACCCUGCACACCACAUGGCAAUGCUUUUACCAGAUUCCUUUGGAACAACUAACUACAGAGAUUGGGAGUCUGCCUCCCUACUUUGCUGGUCAGCUUAGAGAUCAAGCACUGACCCCUAACUCCUCUUCAGGAAUUAACAAAAACAGAACUCCCCAGUAACACAGGCCCCCCUGCUGGCCAGGAGAGGUUACCAUGGCAGCACAGUUGAACCCAGAGAGAGACUUUUCUGUAUUGU